rnacentral:rRNA from 1 species
UGGGAAUUUGGACAAUGGGCGAAAGCCUGAUCCAGCAAUGCCGCGUGUGUGAAGAAGGCCUUCGGGUUGUAAAGCACUUUUGUCCGGAAAGAAAUCCUUGGCUCUAAUACAGUCGGGGGAUGACGGUACCGGAAGAAUAAGCACCGGCUAACUACGUGCCAGCAGCCGCGGUAAUACGUAGGGUGCAAGCGUUAAUCGGAAUUACUGGGCGUAAAGCGUGCGCAGGCGGUUUGCUAAGACCGAUGUGAAAUCCCCGGGCUCAACCUGGGAACUGCAUUGGUGACUGGCAGGCUAGAGUAUGGCAGAGGGGGGUAGAAUUCCACGUGUAGCAGUGAAAUGCGUAGAGAUGUGGAGGAAUACCGAUGGCGAAGGCAGCCCCCUGGGCCAAUACUGACGCUCAUGCACGAAAGCGUGGGGAGCAAAACAGGAUUAGAUACCCUGGUAGUCCACGCCCUAAACGAUGUCAACUAGUUGUUGGGGAUUCAUUUCCUUAGUAACGUAGCUAACGCGUGAAGUUGACCGCCUGGGGAGUACGGUCGCAAGAUUAAAACUUAAAUGAAUUGACGGGGUCAUA